rnacentral:rRNA from 1 species
ACGAACGCUGGCGGCGUGCUUAACACAUGCAAGUCGAACGGAAAGACCCUGCUUUUGUGGGGUGCUCGAGUGGCGAACGGGUGAGUAACACGUGAGUAACCUGCCCUUGACUUUGGGAUAACUUCAGGAAACUGGGGCUAAUACCGGAUAGGAGCUCCUACUGCAUGGUGGGGGUUGGAAAGUUUCGGCGGUUGGGGAUGGACUCGCGGCUUAUCAGCUUGUUGGUGGGGUAGUGGCUUACCAAGGCUUUGACGGGUAGCCGGCCUGAGAGGGUGACCGGCCACAUUGGGACUGAGAUACGGCCCAGACUCCUACGGGAGGCAGCAGUGGGGAAUAUUGCACAAUGGGCGGAAGCCUGAUGCAGCAACGCCGCGUGCGGGAUGACGGCCUUCGGGUUGUAAACCGCUUUCGCCUGUGACGAAGCGUGAGUGACGGUAAUGGGUAAAGAAGCACCGGCUAACUACGUG